UACGUAGGGCGCAAGCGUUGUCCGGAAUUAUUGGGCGUAAAGAGCUCGUAGGCGGUUUGUCGCGUCUGCUGUGAAAACCUAAGGCUCAACCUUGGGCUUGCAGUGGGUACGGGCAGACUAGAGUGCGGUAGGGGUGACUGGAAUUCCUGGUGUAGCGGUGGAAUGCGCAGAUAUCAGGAGGAACACCGAUGGCGAAGGCAGGUCAGCCUAGGGCCGCAACUGA
rnacentral:rRNA from 1 species